rnacentral:lncRNA from 1 species
GCAAAGUCAACAACCUCAUCAAAGUGGAUGCUUGCAAGUGGCUUUGGUGCCGGACAACUCCUCUCUGCAUUACAGGGUGUUUGUGAAGAGCUCUCAUUUGGAGCUCUGGGAUUACAAAGCGAGGCUGAAUGAUUUGAUCUUCUUGACUAGAAGACAGAGCAGGCUGAAAUACGAGAGACGCCCUUCGGCACGUUUGUUACUGCAAAGCCCAAGAACAAACCAAAACAAUCACUGCCUUGCCUUACCAGGAAAAAAUGAGCCCAUCGCAUUCAGCUGCUUAGAAGUUUUGAAGUCUAUAAACAAACUGAGAAUAGGCUGUAGGAUUUAAUUAGCUGAAGGGCUUAAGAGAGCUUUCCCAGGAGUUGGGAUUGUGAGCCCAAGCCAAACGAGCGCGGUGCAGAGGGGCAGAGUCCCCACUGCCAUUACUCUGCUCUCCUGAGACCCCACCUGGAGCACUGCAUCCAGAUCUGGGGCCACCAACAGCAGAAGGACACGGAGCUGCUGGAGUGGGACCAGAGGAGGCCACAGAGAUGCUGGGAGGGCUGGAGCCCCUCUGCUGGGAGGGGGGGCUGAGAGAGUUGGGGGGGUUCAGCCUGGAGAAGAGAAGGCCCCGGGGAGACCUGCCAGCCCCUUCCAGUCCCUAAAGAAGGGGGGCUCCAGGAAAGCUGGGGAGGGACUCUGGAUCAGGGAGGGGAGCCCGAGGAGGAGGGGGAAGGGUUUGACCCUGAAAGAGGGGAGAUGGAGCUGAGCUGUGGGGAAGAACUUGUUUGGUGGGAGGGUGGUGAGAGCCUGGCCCAGGUUGGCCAGAGAAGCUGUGGCUGCCCCAUCCCUGGAGGGGUUCAAGGGCAGGUUGGAGGGGGCUUGGAGCCACCUGGUGUGGUGGGAGGUGUCCCUGCCCAGGGCAGGGGGUGGGACUAGAUGGGCUUUAAAGUCCCUUUCAACUCAAACCAUUCCAUGAUAAAAAUGCAGGCCCCAUUCCAAAGACUCCUUCCAACUUUCCCGUUGGAGCUGCUUUCCAGGCCAGUGCAGACGGGUGGAUGAGAUCCAUGCCGUUACAAGACAGGGUCCCUUAUUUCUCUCUCUCUCUGCUUGCCCCAGUCCUGAAAUAUGUGGUUCCCUCAGCCUGCCAGCUGGCUGGCCCCAUUUUAUUGCGGCCUCUUCUGUCGGCCCUGCCAGCCUGGGCCCUGCGACGCCAACCGCCAGUUGGACAACCGCCUGCAAAUGGCUGCUGAGGUGGAGAACCUGCAGAGCUGCUCUACGGAGGCUGGUGGUGGAUGCUGAGGUGUCUGCUCUUCCUUACAGGGGUCUCGGAAAGCAACUCGCUCCAUCCCCGGUGAGGAAUCCCGUGGUGCCAGCAGCCUUUGACUGUCCCCAUGGACUCCGGGAAGCCCCAUCACCCCACCGACCCGCUGCUCAAAAGUUUGGCUUUAUUGAGUGCAACGUCGCCGUGAGAAGCUGUGGCACGGAGGGGUUCCUGGUGAGCAACCCUCGGGCUCUUGCGUUGGGGUGCUCCAGGCUUGGGAAAGCUGUUUCCUCGGGAUCCUCAGCCGUCUGA